rnacentral:rRNA from 1 species
UACGGAGGGUGCGAGCGUUAAUCGGAAUCACUGGGCGUAAAGCGCGCGUAGGCGGCUCUUCAAGUCAGGGGUGAAAUCCCACGGCCCAACCGUGGAACUGCCUUUGAAACUGUAGAGCUUGAGUGUCGGAGAGGGUGGCGGAAUUCCAGGUGUAGGAGUGAAAUCCGUAGAUACCUGGAGGAACACCGGUGGCGAAGGCGGCCACCUGGACGACAACUGACGCUGAGGUGCGAAAGCGUGGGUAGCAAACAGG